ACAGAAACACAAAACAAGCAAGAUUCAUCAUUGCCAUCUAGUGUUUGGUUCCUCUUCAAAGGAUUAAAAUCAGACACCUACGCCAGCACCAGUAAUGUGAUAUGGCAGCAGGACAUCCAGACUCACAUUCCUUCAUGGAGCGAAGCCAGUCUUAGGAAGUGAUCUGCCAUCUGAGAAUUUUUGCAGUCCAGCCAUGUUCUCCCUGUUUUGCUGGCCAUCUGUAAAAAUUAG